UCAAAAAAUAAACAGCUAACUUAGGUUACAGACAAAUUAAUUGCAGCAUCUCGCGAGCGUUGGAUAAAGAAAAAAAUGAAUAUUGUAUUUUACUCUACCUAUGAAUAUAAGUUAAAAUAUAUUUGUUUGCUUUUGUAUCUUUGUUUUAAAGAAUAAUUCUUAUUACAACAUGGAAAAAAUAUCUAUGAAACAAGUGCAUCGUAUGAUGAAUCACUUAUUAAAUGUGAUUGAUUGUGGUAUGGUACUGACGCAUGAGUCGGAAAUAUUUGAUAAUAAUAAUAUGAUUUACUGUUAGUGCUACGCUAAUUUAAGUCUACACUACUGAUACAUGUAUCUGUGUUCAGUAUUUUCCGGAACAGAUGCCGAACAACUAGAGCAUAUAAUUCUGAAGCACUGACAAUUUAAACUGAGCAUUUUGCAACUUUUGUAUAAAAAUAUUUAUUAUAUGCCUUCUUUUGUAAUUUAAAGUUUUCGUAUUGUAUUAACUUCAUAUAUGACAUAGCAUGUGCAAUGGAUUACGCAUUUCAAAUUCUAUAGCUUCAGCCUGUAGACUGUAGUAUAACUAUAAGUAUAUUUUAACUAAAAGCACUAUACCUGUGAAUACAUAUGCACAAAAUGGUUUUAAUGAAUAUCAAUAAAGAGUGUUUAUAUGAUUUCAAGACAACAGAAAUCUAUUAACCUUUAUGUUUUUGUAAGAAACAAAUUAUGAUUACAAAAUUUGCAUAUUGUUAUAUCUGAUUGAGGACUGACAAUAACAGUGUUUGACGUUCCAAUAAAUAAGUUGAAUGCAAAAACAGAAUCAUAAGUUACGGUUUACAGUCAUCAGUUCCUUGCCAUUAAGGUUAUAUGUACCUUAACAUCACUGCCAGUUUAAUGAUGCAUUGCUUUUAAAAAAUUGACUUGCUUUUUCUACAAAUGUGUGUGAUUAUUAUAUAACAAAAAAGGUGAUAUUACAUAAAAUCAAUUGAUGUUAUUUUGGCUUCCAAUUACUACAGUUAAUAAUUGAAUGUAAUACCAGUCCUAUAUUUCCUAUAGCUUUAGAACAACUUUGUGCUCUUUGAAAUGUUUACAUUUCAUUGAACAUUGAGAGGCAUUUAAGAAUCCAUUAUAAGCAAGACAGGCCCAUCUCAGAAUUAUGUAUUCAAGUAACCAUUAUUUACCUGAACUGUGUCUUCCACCUAAGUAAUCAUACUUGUAAUAUAACUCGUAAUGAAUGAAGUGGAUGAGAAAGACCUGCCUUUGAUGGCCAAUACAAGUGAAAUUUUGGUUAAGCAUUAUGUAAUACAGUUAGAUUGUGAACUUGAUCAAAAAGUCUUUUUUGGAAGUGUGACACUUUUUCUUGAACCAGUUAAUCAGAAUUGUGAAAAAUGUGGUUUAUCAGGUGAUAAAUUUACUAAUCUAAGUCAGGUGUAUUGGAAUACAGUAGAAGAUAAUAUUAUAGCUAAUCCUUGUCAUCAGAACUUUCUGAAUUGUCAAGAAAAUGUUUCAAAUGAAGGAUUGAAGAAGAUUACUGGUAGUCAUAAUAAGAAUAUCAAUUUGAGACAAAGAAUAGUAACAAGUUCUGAUGUGCCACACAAACCUGUGUCAAAAUCAUUUAACAAAUGCCAUGUGUCUUGUUAUACAGAAAAUCAGUGGAAAGACCAUUCACUAAAGUGUGAGAAUUUAACUAUUUUAAAGACAGGAAAAAGAAAGGGUGAUAAUAUAAAAGAGUCCAGAAAAAAGUUAAAUUAUACAGAAACUUUCAGAAAUGUUGACUGUCAUGAUUCUUUAAUGCCUGUAUUAGGUUGCUGUGCAAAUCUUCAAGCAUAUUGUGAAUUUCACAAAUCUGUUCAUCAUGUUCAAAGAGAUAAAAUACACAACAUAUUUAGUGACAAUCACAAAUUUAAGAAACAGUGCACCAUUUCACCUGAAAAAUGUGUGUUUGAGCAAGAAGAAGGGUUCUGUAAUUUUUUAGAAAGUGGAAUUGACAACACUGCCAAGUCUAAACCAGGUAUUGAAGAUGUUGACUUCUGUUUGUCAGAAGAUCAGAUGAACCCCAAUGCACUUUUGAACUUAAAGGGCUUAGAUGAUACAACACCAGAUACUGUAAUUUCAACACAGUCAUCUACAUGGAGUUUUAAGCACAUGCAAACAGAAGAACAACCAAGUAAGCUAUUAAGUGGUGUAAUAAGGAAUGAUAAUUUCAGUGUCCUUACAAGUGAGACUGAAACUAGUAACUUUGAAUGUAUCUUGGACUGUUGUGAUAUUACAGUUACUAAAGUUCAAAGUUUGAACACAUUUAGUCUUAUAGAUAGUACUUAUUCAUCCCACUUCAAGUUAACGAACGCUGACAAAAAUGUAGAAGAAGUAGUAAAGUUAGAGAAAGAGGAUCUUUGUUUUAGUUUGGAAAAAUGGGCCUUGAAGAUCUGGAAGGAAGGAGUUAGAUGUGGUCAUACAUUCCCACAAAUAAUACAAAUACACUAUCAGACCAAACCUGAAGGAUCAUCACUCUUGUGGGUCAAAGAUCAAGAUGGGAGAGACUGUGUCUUCACAUAUGGAGCAAGUAUUAACAAUAGGUCAUUACUUCCCUGCCAAGAACCUCCUGUUGCUAUGGCAACCUGGAGAGCCAUUGUCACUGUUCCAAAAUAUGCAAUUGUUUUAAUGAGUGGAGAUGAAGAUCCUUCUGUUAUAGAGAAAGAAAAUGAUAAAUUGGCAUACAACUACUAUACUAAGGUCGAACUACCAGUGUCCACGUUAGCUCUUGCUGUUGGGUUUUGGAAGGAAUACAAUCUUGGCCUCUCUGGAAACAUUUCUGAGAUAAAACCAAAAGUAAAACAAGUACCUUGUAAAAUAUAUUCACCAGAGUCGCUCUUGGAAAGAACAUACAAAGAGUUUGGCCAGUAUCUUCUCACAUGUUUGAAUGUAACUCAGCAACUUUUAGGAGUUUACCCUUUCAUUAAACUGGAUCUGUUGCUGAUGCCAAAAUGUUUUGGAAGCCUUGGAAUGGCAAGUCCAAACUUGAUUUUCCUUUCUCAGUCUUUAUUGGCUGGAGAUGGUAGCAUGUGCAGCAGGCUAGCACAUGAAAUUGCACACUGCUGGUUUGGACUUCUGAUUGGAGCUUUUGAUUGGACAGAGGAAUGGCUUAGUGAGGGUUUUGCCACAUUUCUAGAAGACAUACUUCAUGCACUGGUACUUCAACUAAGAGAAGAUGAACAGAAAGAACAAAAUGAACUAAAAUAUGCUCUGCGGUUACGAAUACUGAAGGCAGAACUGAUUAAUACUGAGGAGGAUCUCCAAACUCUUAGAAUGAAUAGCAAACUGCAAAGUGAAGAAAAGACUGGAGGAAGUUUUGUGAAGAAUGGGAUGAAUCCAUUUAAAACUUUCAUUCAGGUUCAUUACUUGAAGGGAUAUUUUCUUCUGCGUUAUCUAUCUGGUUUGGUUGGCCUUAACAACUUCUUGAAAUUUCUGCAGGAUUUUGUUGAAAAGUUCCAGCACCAACUUGUGCUGUCACAGGAGGUCUUAAUCUUUUUCUUCGAGUCAUUUCCUUGUCUUGCAGAGAAGAACUUGUCUCCUGAGGUUAUAGCUAGCACCUGGCUAGAUACUCCAGGUUUACCCUCAGAAGCUGAAGAAUUUAAGCCAUCUUUAGAAAACCGUUUAUACUCAUUAGUCAUACAACAGACUAGCAGAUGGAAAAGUCUAAAUGAAUGCUUGCUGAAAAAGACCAAAAGGAAAUUCAGAAGAUUGAAAGUGAACUUAAGUGACUUUGUUGAGUUGAGUCCAGAUCAGCUUGUCUUUGUGCUUGAAUUACUGCUGGAUGAACACCAGAUGGCACAUCGAACUUUGACAGAACUGUGCAGGUUCUUUAAGCUUGGAGAGCAGAAUGCAGAUGUUCGACACAGAUGGUGUGAACUCAUUGUGCAACACCAGUACAGACCAGGUUACACUGCCAUUAGUACUUUUCUUAUAGAAGAGCAGGCUAUGGGGAUCUAUCUAUAUGGUGAAAUGGGAAGAUCCACUUCCAGGCAGCUGAAACAACUAGCAGUACAAUGCUUCCAGGAGAUCUGUGACCAAAUGGAACCAAACUUCCGAGUGACCAUCAAGAAGAUAUUGCAAGCAAACAACCUCUGUUGAUGAAAUAAUUUGUUGUAGUACUGCUGUUUCUUGUAUAUAGCUACUAAGCACCUCUGUUUAAGCCUGGUAAAAAUUAUUGUUUUCAAGACUUCUUAUUUUAGUGUCAAGUUCUGUUGUGAUUUUCAAGUAGUCUGUCGUCUGUCUUUUGUUUACAGUAGUGUGUUCAACAUAAAACAGGAUUUCAAACAGGGACCUGCAAACUUAGAUUUAUUAUUACUCUGACUGACUUAGCUUUCCAAUAAAAAAGAUGAUGGCAACUGGUGAAUAAAAUUAGGGUUUGAUGUAUUAUUUUCAUAACCAAAUAGAUUGAUUCUUUUUAAUAUAAUGUGUUAUUGUAUAGUGAAGAUGUUAUAUUGAUCAAGUUAAUCUGCUUUAGCUUAUUUAUUAUGUCUAAAAUAUUGUGUAUGCCAUGUUGGUAAAUGUAGAUUAACUAUUCUUUAUACACAUUAGUCAUUAGUUAUAAGUUUAACAACAACCAUGGUCAUAGUUUACUGGGGAUACUGGUAGGUGUCAAGAUCUUUAAAUGUAAGGAGUAUAUGUUGUGACUGUUACAAUUCUUCCUAGCCACUGUCCCUUGUAUGAUCACACACACACACACACUUUUUAAUCAGAUUAUAAUUUAAAAUUUCUAGAAAACUGUUUUGUUUUGAAUUUAUAUAAAUAAGUUGCUAUUUAUAAAAUAUUAUUUUUAGAUAAAUACUGUAUAAUAUUUCUUAUUUAACCCAGUUUAUAAGUGAUCAAUAACGUAUAAAAAUUAUACUUUAUGCAAAGUUGAUAUUUGUAAUCAAUCAAGUAUUCGUAGACUAGACAAUAAAUGUUCAUAAAACUUUAUUAAAAUCACUAGUCAAACAUCAUCACAGUAAUAUAACUGAACCUCAAGUGUUUAACAGGCUAAUAAACUUCUAUUAGAAAAGAAUCUGUUUCUGUAAUUAAUGUGGUUUCUCAUUAUACACCUUACAAUAUCCUUCGUUUUUAUGAUAUUAUUACGUUCUAAACCAGACCGAGUAUGAAAUAUGGCUUAUUUAUGUAUGAGUACAAAAAUGCUGACUUAAUGAAAGGCUACAAUUUCAGGAUAUUCAUCUCUGACCAAUCUACAAACUCGUUAGUGUAACGUUAACAUUUUGGACUAGACCAAGAUGAAAAAAAAUAUAUUAUAAUUUUUUUUUUAAUCUUGGAAUAUAUAGAUUAGUAGGAAAAUAGUUUAAGUAAAGGUAGUAGUUCCUUACUUAUUGUGAAUCUGUAUAAAUGAUAUUACCAGUUUCAAGGAUGUUAUACUGCCCAAAAUAAUUACAGGAUAAUUAGAACAGGAAACGUAAUAGCUACGUUAAUCAAAGUCACUGUUUUAGAAUAAUGCCAAUCACCUCUUCAUCUCAAAUCAGGUAUACAAAUCAGGCAUUUGAUAAUACGUCGUAAUGUGAAAUUUAGACGAUUGGCCGGUCAUUUAGUCUACUUUAUAUAGUACGCUCCACAAUAGCCCAUUGUGUAGCCCUGUGCUUAUCUACAAACAAUAACAGCUUAUAUAGUACAGUGGGGCCUCGCUAUAACGUGAAUCUCUCCUGGAUUCUAAAAUUCCAGAUCCAGCUAAAAGUUAAUUAAUCAUUGUGAAUUGGGAGUGUUUAAUCGAAAUUUUUGAGUGUCCACUCAGUUACAAUAAUUUAUUAAGUGUCCAAUGAAAUUUCUCCAUAUUAAUUAAUUAAGAGAAUUGGCCAUGAAGCUUUAUUCUAAUUGGCCGUCGCUUAGCCCCUAUUAGGGAGGCACCCUAAGAACUGCAAAAGAUCAGAUUUUUUGUUGUCAUUUUCUACGUUUAUUUGUUGCUAGAACUUUAGACAGAAAAGACCAUUUAGACGAUGUCUACGCCACCAGUUACUAUCGACGGAUUACCCAACGACGACUCACCCCGACAAAUUGCGGACUUUAUCCGCAGAUACAAGUUCGUAUAGUUCCAGAGGCCACGAAAAAACAUACUUAUAUGUGGAAUCCUCUUACAACCUAAAACUCGCGAAUAUUUACGCUACUUAUGCGAACUGCAGAACUACCAGUUAAAUGUCAACUUCCCAAGAACGACGCUAGCCUUCGUACGGAAUGUGGACUAAACCAUAACCUCAGACAAAAUUAUCCACGCUUAAAAAUUCACGUAGUUCACAAAAUAAUUUCGAAGAGAAGCAGAAUGCCACCACACUUCAUGACAAUAGUAACCACCUCCAGGUAAAUGGCAGGCUAUGUUCUCUUCCUUGGAUGUUUCUUUUAUUUCUUUCAUCUUAAAACCGAAAGACCCAAUCGCAAAUCACGGCUGCCUCCAACCUACACCGGCAAAUCUUCUACACAUAUUCCACGCCAGUUCUACACAACAUUUUCCGCAGACUAAUAAACCCAGACGACCAACAUGGAAAAACCAACACACCCAGAUUACGACAAACCAAAAGAAGAAUUCACAAGACAAGACAAUGCAAACCCAACAUACACACACCUACGUCAACAGGAACAUCACGCGGUCAAUAAACCCAGACCCGAACAGCUACCAAGAAUAAAGGAAAUAAGCAGAUAAUCACUCCGAAUCAUGGCCGCAUCGAUUAACUCGCCUUACGAACAUCUUCGAACCUGCGCCUUCCAGCCAUGUAUCUACUGACGAGACGCGUGGCACGUUCUAUUACUUCCGACGUCCUUUCCCAAGCGACAACGAAGACGACGACGUCCCGAACGUCGGAGCCCCCCCUUCAGCCGGAAUUCGCCUUUCUAACGUGUCCUCAAUAAGAAGACUCCACUGCACUAGCCAAUUCUUUUCACACCCGUUACUCCUUUCUCCCAUUAUAAUUUCACUUUACCUUACUUCAUUUUCUGGUUUUAUCUGGUACUGGUCAAGUAGAACAUCCGGCGCGUGACCAGUGAAAGUGGAUUUUCUCGGGGCACUUCCGAUUCUCCACAGUAAAUUUUCCAGGCAUUCGAUUUAUAGAUCCCCGCCUUUCUGAAGGAUUACAAGUCGAUAGGGGCCGUUGGUUUGUCUCGAGUAGUAAGAAGAAAUCUGUUAUCCACAUACUUCACUUCCUCAAGUAGCAUCUACCUUCUUCCGGCUCUCAUCAGAAGUCAAUCAUUUGCCUACCAAGUACAAUAUGUGGGGCGAAGAGGAACAUUCAGUUUCUGAGCGGCCCCGAUCCUCCCUCCCCCUCUGAGGCCUCCAGUUAAGCCCCGUGCGAUCUAAACCGUUUUUGUUGUUGCCAAAGGUCAGUACUUGUUGCUAUCAUGUCUGCUAUUAACACCAAUUCCAAGAAUAGAAAAUCAUAGAGGAUCACUGAAAAGCUCGCCAUCGUAGUUGAGAUAAAAAACAAAGGAGCUAGCCAGGGAUCCAUCUCGAAGAAAUAUGCCAUCACUGAGUCAACAUUGUGUUGCUGAUUAAAUAACGAAGACGAAUUUCGCAAAGUUUCCAAAGAGUUGGACAAUAAAUAAAUAUUAUCCAGCAACACGCAACUCGACAAGGCAGUCUUCACGUGGUUCAGUUAACAGUGAACGUGCAAUAUCCGGGCCAUUUCUCCAAACACAAGCUAAGACGUUUGCACAGCGUCCUGAUGACGAAAAAUUUGAAACCAACGGGUGGGGGGGGGGACAGGUUGCAUCCCUAAAGCAACCCCUACACACUAAAGAUAUCCUCGAUAGAGGACUUCCACUUUCAGAGGAGUGUCCGAGAGGCAACAUCGCUGCUAGGCUGCCCUUGCUGUUCUUUAUAAUCCUACUCUGAACCAAAAUGCAAUGUCAUGAACUAUAGCCCCCCAGUAGUUUAACAGUAAAACUGAGGGUUUAUAACGCUGAAACCAGAUUUCGAUACCUGCAGUGGGCAGAGCAGAGAUAGCCCAUGGUGUAGCUUUGCGCCUAACGACAAACAAACGAAUUGUAAAGACGUGAGGCUACUUUUAUUAAGUUUCAAUUUAAAACACAGACUGACUAACCAAUCACUUGCGUGUCAAAUCAUAUGACUGAUCUUUAUGUGCUUGGUUUGUAUAAAAAUUAACUGACAGAGAUCAUUAAUAAUGAAUUAUAAAAUUUUAGCAGUGUAAUAGUAAAAAUCUUAUAAAUUCUAAUUAUCUUUCAGCUGUUUUGUGAAUUGAUUUAAAAUUUAAAUCUCAUGUCAAUGAUUUAUGUUUGUUGCUCUUUUUCCUGACAAUGUUUUUGGCGCCCUCUGGUGUUUGCUUAUAUGAUGAAGAUCAUCGGUCUCCGCGACUUAAGUGCAGUGUUUUACCAUACACAUAUUGUGACUAGCGUUUUUUAAUAAAGUAUUGUGAGUGUUGUUAUUUUUAGUUAAGACAUGAAACCACUGUUAAUAAUGUUUGUGAUAUUGUAUUUUUACACAAAACUUGCUGUGUGUUAAAAUAUGCUUGAUGUUAUUUCCUAAUACUAGGAAGUUUGAAGUUUUUGUGAUAUUUGGUCAAACUAAACACUCAAGUAGUGUAUAUGUGCACAUUUUUUGUAAGUAACUAGUUUAUAUGUAACCAGAAAUAUCUCAAGCAAAAAUCUUACAUAAUAAACUGCUUCUUAUAUAGAGUAUGGCUAUCCUAUGGUUAUUAUAUAGAACAUGGUUAUUAAAUUGGAGUAAAAAUCAAGGUCCUGUAUGAUGUACGUGUUACACUUUAUAUAGAUUAUGGCUAUCCUAUGGUUAUUAUAUAGAACAUGGUUAUUAAAUUGGAGUAAAAAUCAA